rnacentral:tRNA from 1 species
CACCGUGAUGGUGCGGCGCACGACCUGCCCGGCGCUGAAGUCGCCGGGAGCGGGCUCGAUCACGCCGAGCACGAUGCCCA